UCCCACAAUUCUUUGCGUCCAUGCGUCAGGUAAGCCCCUGGUGUCCAUUGCUGUUCCGUACUAAGAAUGGCUCAGUUUAGCAGAGGAUUCCCUUUGCGUGAGACGACCAAAAUGAGAAGUUGCUGAGGGCAUGAGAAAGGUUUGCGGGACCGUGAGCGUAUCUAGUCACUGAUAAACCACGCUUCAUCACAGGACGCAACUACUCCGGGAUCAUCAUUGCAAGUGGAUUGAAAAGUAAGAUUUUAACUAGCACUUUGGAUUUUAAUCGAAGUGGUCGAACAACCUUUUCAUUUUAAGCUCCACAAAACGUAUGGAUGUAUUUUUGCCAAUGUAUUGCAGCUUCCGUUCACAACUUUAUAUUUUACCGCAUUUGGCACUUUUACCUUUGUUAGGUAUUGCCGUUUUGCGCACGUGGAGCGGUCUUUUGUAUGGAUGAUACCUAAGUGGUGAGAUAGCGGCUCUCAUUCGUUUGGGGGCAUAUAUUAUGGGACAUCAUGAAUAAUCACCUAGUAGCUGCCGUCAAGAAGAUUGGUUCCCAGCUUGGAUUCCUUGCUGACAAAUUGCCACAUGGGCGUAUAAUUCCGAAUAUGUCCGAUGUUAUUACUGACGCCCAGUUCAUCAGAGUAUGUGGUGGACUUUAUUAACAGAUAUAUCUAGGACUGCCCGUUUCUCUGGAUUUUUACAUAUAUGGUUCUGCUUUCAAUACCCAUUUGUCCGUUGUAUUGGGAACGAAGCCUCAUUGUUUGGAUUAUGUAAACGGAUACAUCUAUGGGAUUCAUCAGUUUUAAGCGAUAAUGGAAUACAAGACGUACGUAUCUUGGAUUAAUAGAAGAUGCUGUGCACUGUUUGACAGGUGCCAGGAGCCACUGCAGGAACGGCAGCCCAAUACUGGUCAGGUUCAGUCCAAGCAGAAGCAACAAUCCCAUUUGAAGAAUGGCUGUUUCAAUACGCCUUCAUCAUAUAGUCACUAGAGGGCAGCACAUCCAUCCAUAGACACACAGGACCGGGAAGGCAAACAGGUUGCUCAACUUAGCAGUUCAGUUUGUGUAUAUUGGCUCAGUUUGGUAUGGCCCCCACCCGUUCCUGCGGGUGGGAAUAAUUGUGUUCCCGUUUUAAUAUAGUACAUGAAAGGUGACGGCUAUUUAAGCUGCAGAGGAGUGGCCACAGACACAUUCCUCUGGAGAAAUGGCAGUUAGCAAGGGGAGCAUGCGAUCUGGGGUGAGGACAUCACCCCCCAGGGGCCUUGGAGGGACAUGGAUACCAUGGCAGAUUCGGGGGGGGGGGGGGGGCAGCACUUGACAGGGGCCCUAGAAUAUGUAAAAUUGUGCUGUAUGGCAAGGUAACAUUUUGUAAUGGGGCCCCUGAACUUCUUGUUACACCUUUGAUCACCAUCCCUGCCAUCCUGCACUAGUGCAGCAGAUGGAAAGAACACAGCACUUGUCCCUCAGAUGUAAUGACAGGUCAGAUACCUAGGAGAUAAGUGUGGAAUAAGGCAGCGUUUCCCAACCCGGUCUUCAGGGAUCCACAGAUAGUCCACAUCUUUGCUCCCUCCCAGCUCCCGAGCUUUCAGUGAGUGACCAGCGACAAAGUCAUCAUUGGAACAAGAGCCAUAAAGCCAUCAUCAUUAGACACAGCAUCCAGUGUUACAGAGUAUCGGCACCUCUCAAUAUCUGCUGGUACUGAAUACCAAGGGGAGUACCCGCACCUGGUACUGAAUACCAAGGGGAGUACCCGCACCUGGUACUGAAUACCAAGGGGAGUACCCGCACCUGGUACUGAAUACCAAGGGGAGUACCCGCACCUGGUACUGAAUACCAAGGGGAGUACCCGCACCUGGUACUGAAUACCAAGGGGAGUACCCGCACCUGGUUUUUAAUCCUCACUUUAAGCACUGAUGGGAUGCACUGGAAAGCUUAAGUAUCUAGAAAUAUUUUAUAGGCCUAUAGACCAUAAAAGCUUAGAUUUAAAUGUGCCCUUCAGAGGUAAAGUGGGUUAUCCCACAAAAACAAAGUUUUGAGAAAAUGAGCUUCAAAGUUUAAAUUAAAAAAAAAAAUCAGUGUGCCUAUACCCUACAGUUGAUAUAUAUCAUAGGUAGCACAGAUCUUGGUAUAUUUAAAAGAUAGAUAGACCCUGAAUAAUUCAUAAUGGAUACUAAACUCAUUUUUGACUGACAUGUGGGAUAGCCCACUUUACCUCUCAAGGGCACAAAUGUACUGUAGCUUGGCUAGCAUAUUUUUUAUGCAACGUAUUACCGUGGUGCUUUUUCAUUAUGAGACAGCUAGCUGGGAUGGCGCUUUUCGCGAAAGAGGCAAUUAGUUAAAAGGUAGUGUUAGCUCAUAUACACAUGCCCACAACUCCCACCAGGUGGCAGUAUUGCUCCAUGAAUAUAUUUGCUUGGAAUCGCGACAACAGCUAACAGCCCUAAUCCAGACAAGGAGUACAAUUAUUUCCUUAUUGCUCCUGUCCCUCUAACCUAUAUAUUUAUGUACAUGUAUUUGUAAAUCAAAGCAGAGCCGCCCUUCUGUCGGCGACAAGUCAGAUAAACUUACAGUGAACUGUAAUAAAACUCGUCAAAACCACAAUUCAAACGUGUCUGAGAAGGUGGUGGCUCUUUCUCUUUUGUUUGUUCUUCCUGGAAUUUGGGUGUAUCCUUGUUUUGCACUAGUUUUUUUAGUUUUUCUGAUCAAAUGCUAGCUAGGGGAAAGCUUUCUCAGGUGAAAGAUAAGGCAACGAUUGUCAGUUAAAGAAAAGGACAGACGAGUCUAGGUACUUUUCUCAACUGACCAAACACUCUUGGAGAGUUUUCAUGCCAACUCUGUGGGUCUUUUUAAACUUGGGUUUUUGUUGCCAACAAGAAAAAAAGGACAAAGCAGAAUGUGGGCCGCCACCUGUUGAUCUCUGCUCACUGCAGGUGCUGUGAUUGGCUGGACAAGGGCUGACCGUGAUUGGUUGACAGUUAUAGCCUGGAUAUAAAUGGAGAGUAGGCCACACCCACCCAGGUGUGUUUCCUCGUGCUGAGACGGGGCAGCUCACCAGGUGCUUUUCAGAGCUGAGGACAAAGGCAUUGAGGGAGGCAGUGCCCCCACUGCACAGAGAGCGCCAUCUUUAUGCUCCUGCAGGAAAAGCAGCACACCUGAAUCGGCCACCAUUUUGGUGCCACUGUAGUAUUUCAGGGCUGAACCGUGGGUACAGCGAUCAAGAGGGGUGUGGAGUUCAACCAUCAGAUCGGGGUUCGGGGGGGCGAUGGCGUAAUUGGCAUGCCUCCCAGCGCCGGUGGCUCCCUGUACUCCUCCUGAGCACUCCCCGUGGGUGGAGGAGGAUCGGCUUGUUUACAGAACUGGCCUCCAGCAGAGGCUGAUCGGUGGAGAACGUCUACAAGCCACCUUAUCCUGCCCAGUCUACCGUGUCACUGUUACAAAUCCCAGCAUGCUGUGCCUGCUGCAUGGGCUCCUUUGUGAUCUCUGCAGUGUAUGUCAAUUAAAAGCACGGUUGCUCUCUGCUUAGACAAUGACUGCAUGCACUGUAUAAGUUUGUGCCUCCCUCACGUUCGAUGCCAGAUUUCGGAUUUUCCUGCUUGUCCUUUGCGCUUUGGCGUGAUACUCCCGUUUCAUGAGCCCGCUGAAAGGACCAUGGUCACUUUAUCACCUCCAGAUGGUACCCCCACCCUAUCUGCUGCCUUAUCGACCCACCCUUGGCCCCUCCCCCCCCGCCCUUGUCGUAUCUGUAAUGAAUCACCUUAUCAGUGCUGCUGUCUCUCACCAUCCUUUUUCCAUUCUUCUUUCACCCAGCUAAUUGUUUAGUUUUGUCCCAUGUCUUUGGCCCUCCAUUCUGCCUAAUCCGCAAGUCGGCCUCCUCAAAUGGGAGUCUGAGCUGGCUAGGACCAAACGCUGUCAAGUUAUGAGGGUGAAGUCGUUCCAUUUCACGUUCCCAGCUGCUUGGGAUCAAGCUUUUCAUCCGAAGCAACUCGCAGAGCUUAUAAUGAUUCUCUCUGGCCAUUUUCCAUAUGGGAUUUUGGGCUACCCCCCACACCCCACUGUGGUGACUCAGUGCUGCAUCGUAAGAAAGCCACCUGGACGCAGGUCUGUGCGGUGGAGUUAAGAAUGCACUGUGAGAUGGAGACACCUCGGCAUUUCCUCUGCUGCCGCCUGACAGUUACAAGCCAAGGAGGUGUGUGAUUGGACACUUAAAGUCAGCCUCCAGCCAUGACCAAACAAAGUCGACCCUGCAGGCAGCGCCUUGCAACCCACCAGUCCGGAAAACCCGUUUUCCUGGCAGGGAAUGCUGGCCAUCCCGAGACCCGGAAUACCACCAUCCAACUGCUCUUCAGGCUCUUGGAAGGCAUCCGUCUUCAUGUAUUGCUUUGGAUCUCCUGAAAGUCCAGCCGGCUGGCAUGGAGGGCGAUGCGCUCGAUGUGGCGAAGGGGGCAAGACGCCCAGCAAAACCAAUGUCGCCACCCCUCGGAGCUGCGAUUGGCUUUUAGGGAAAAGGCCUUGAUUGGCAGUGGCGAGAGGUGGGCCGUGGAGGGGACGAGCCCAGCAGACGAGGAGUCGCGGCGAUGAAGAGACAAGCGUGGGCCCUCAGGGGGCCGGGGGGCAGGUUGGGGCCUGAGAUGGCAAGCUGCAAGUGGGCGGGGCAGCAGGGGAAUGAGACGCCUGGCAGGUACCGCACGUCUGCUCUCCGAAGAACAGCGGACAGAUCUCCCCGACACGUCCUUCCUCCGCCCGGGGGCAGCCGCCAUCACAUCUUUCGCCGGCGGGGGCGACGUCACGCCCUGUUCCCAAGCCCGAGAGAGAGCCACCUGGAGUUACUGGUGCUGGCGGUAAACAGACCACCUGCGCUGACUCACCCCCCCCACCUCGAUGCCCAAACUCGGGCACAGCGCAGCGCUCCGUGGAAGACGAGGAGUGUGGGAGCGAAGCCCCAUCGGCACUGGGGAGUAACCUGACACGGCGAGUGCUGCCACGGUGUCCCGGUACUGCAGCCCUCAUUCCCAGACAAUAAACUGGCAAGUCCCAGAGCCACCGUGACCUUCAGCCUUCCCCAGCGACAGCGCGAGCCACAGGCCCAAGCCAGUCAGACUUGAGCUAAAAAUGACUCUGCUGCCUUUGUGAUGUGCAUGUAUAUAUAUUUUUCCUGAUUUGUCUGACAUUUCAGAGAAAGCGGUAGAGCUUUAUGGAGUCUUGAUGGUUUUGUCAGAUACCGGAGAUGACGACCUUAAAUGCCGGACCUCUUUUACUAAAUCAGGCAGGAGGCCUGGGCCUUGCUCCAGGAUGGGAGGAAGCGGGCUCGGUACCAGAAUCCAGAGUCCAGUACCAUAAAUUGUAGGGUCCGGUAGGACCUAAUUUUCAUGAGCCAUCAACUUUUUACUGGGUCCCUAUCUUUAAAAUAUACCCCAACAUAUUCAGGGAGUGAAACCGAAUGGAUUAUUUUUGACAAUCUAUGAAUCAAUAUUGUUAGGCAGCCAUUCACGUUGCUUACCUGCCACUCAAUAUCGUAUGGGAUCCCCUGGAAAUUGUAUAAAAUCAGCCUGGCCAAAAUCUUGUAAAGUACAAUCAGGAACCUAUGGACUGUGGAGAUGCAGUUGACUCAGAAGACCAUUUUAGUGUCAUUUUGGUUUUUAUGGGCUCACUGGUAGACGGAGCAGACUUCUUUAGGAGUGAAAGCAUGAUGGACUUCAACAUUUCCAGAUAUGAAGGACUGACACUGGCAAGCUAGGGAAAGUGGGAGUAGUUUUAGACACCCCGUUCUCAGGUGUCCGUGCCUCAGGGCAUAUCCUGUUCCUCUUUCAGGCAGAACCGGUUUUUGCUCUGACUGUUUUAUCCAGCCUGUAAAUGCUACGUUUUUUUGCAUUAAAAAAGUGUGAUACAUCUCC